rnacentral:rRNA from 1 species
UACAGAGGUCUCAAGCGUUGUUCGGAUUCAUUGGGCGUAAAGGGUGCGUAGGUGGCGCGAUAAGUCGGGUGUGAAAUCUCGGAGCUUAACUCCGAAACUGCAUUCGAUACUGCGGUGCUUGAGGACUGGAGAGGAGACUGGAAUUCAUGGUGUAGCAGUGAAAUGCGUAGAGAUCAUGAGGAAGACCAGUGGCGAAGGCGGGUCUCUGGACAGUUCCUGACACUGAGACACGAAGGCCAGGGGAGCAAACGGG